rnacentral:rRNA from 1 species
UACGAAGGGGGCGAGCGUUGUUCGGAUUUACUGGGCGUAAAGGGCGCGCAGGCGGCUCAUUUUGUCAGGCGUGAAAGCCCCGGGCUUAACCUGGGAACUGCGUUUGAUACUGGAUGGCUUGAGAUUGGGAGAGGGAUGCGGAAUUCCAGGUGUAGCGGUGAAAUGCGUAGAUAUCUGGAGGAACACCGGUGGCGAAGGCGGCAUCCUGGACCAACACUGACGCUGAGGGAGCGAAAGCCAGGGGAGCAAACGGG